rnacentral:rRNA from 1 species
GUGGGGAAUAUUGGACAAUGGGCGCAAGCCUGAUCCAGCCAUGCCGCGUGAGUGAUGAAGGCCCUAGGGUUGUAAAGCUCUUUUGUGCGGGAAGAUAAUGACGGUACCGCAAGAAUAAGCCCCGGCUAACUUCGUGCCAGCAGCCGCGGUAAUACGAAGGGGGCUAGCGUUGCUCGGAAUCACUGGGCGUAAAGGGUGCGUAGGCGGGUCUUUAAGUCAGGGGUGAAAUCCUGGAGCUCAACUCCAGAACUGCCUUUGAUACUGAAGAUCUUGAGUUCCGGAGAGGUGAGUGGAACU